rnacentral:piRNA from 1 species
AAGCUCAGAAAAGAAUUUCUAACAC